UCUGUGACCUCACAAUUUCCCUUGGGCUGUGAAAUCAUUACUUAUUCAUUCUUUAUUUCUGACAGUGUCUGAGGAGUAGAAAAAGCAUCCUUCAUCAGCGUGAAACAGAAGCUAGAGAUAAAAAUUAACUAGGGCCUUGUUACUCAGCGUGGUCCACAGACCAGCAGCCUUGGUAUCAUCAGCUCCUCCUCCCCUCGCCCCAACCUCCAAAUCUGCUGAGUCAGAAUCUGCGUUGUAACACGGUCCAGGUGAUUUGUAUGGACCUGAAAAUUUGAGAAGCCCUCAACUAGGGAACAGUGAUUCUGUUGCCCACCUUCUGACCUUCACCAUCUGAAAGCUUGAAGAAGAAAAAGCAGCCCCUGGAAAGCAAAAAGGGGAGAAAAUUACUCCGAUUGUAAUCAUUAAUGGAAUCACUGAUCAAGCCGUUUUCAUUGUUUUAGCAAAUUUCCUAUCACUAACGUGAUACAGUCAUGCUUAAAGUGGGCUGGCAGAGACACUGGCUUGUUCUGACCCAAAUCAGCUAAUUAGUCUUGGUUAGUGAUUAGACUUCAGUGGAAAGGAGAGAAAAGCCUUCAACAAGGGGCUUGACAAGGAAAUGCAGCUGUUUCUCAUAAACUACAAUGAAUGAGCCUAUAAUAAUUAUGGCUUCACCCUUUAUAACCUGCAACCUCUUGCCUCUCUGUCAUCAGAGAGGCAACCCCUUCCAGCGAGGGUUACUCCUGAGGUGCUAAGAGUUGCAAGGAGAGCACAGAUGUGCCAGCGGAGGGGAGCUUUUUGAGCUUCCAGGUAAGAGAAAUAUACAAAACCAAAGUAUUUCCUAGACUCCUUCCUCAAUUCUAAAAGGCCACUGAUUGCAGAAACGCCUUAGGCCUAACAGGAGCUUUUCAGGAGGGAUUAUCAAGACUUGCCUGUAUAAGUUACAGACAUGUCCCCAUUUUUAAAAUGUGAAAUUGAGAAAGGCAAGAUUAUGGGGACACAUCUUAGAGUCCAGAGAACUUGGCAGACCAGUGCUUGACAGCUUCAUUGCCCCGGUUUGCUGAUGGAUAUUAGCAGUUCAGUCUCUCCAUGGGUCCCUGAAAAUGUAUAUGAAAAUACAAUGUUCACUGUUUUCUGCAGGCAUCUAUUUUGCUGUGGAACUGAAAUACAACCCAAAGAACUUCGAGGAAGAGAAAUAUCAAGACUACUUUCUCCAAAGAAAUUUGGAUUGAAAAUCAGGACACAGUGAAAAUGACUUAGAGAAAAUAAUGCCACAGAUAUAUCUAAAAUGUGAAUGAAGCUGGAAGCAGCAGAGGACCACACACCAUGAAAUGUAAACAGAGGAGAAAAAAGCUAGAUGCCAGACAGGAAGAGAAGAACCAGAAGAGCAGUCUUUACAAAUAGAGCAACACUAAUACUCUAAGAAGAUGGGCCAUGCUUAUCCUGAGUGUGCUCCCCAAAGAUGUCAGUCAGAAGCCGACAGUAUGGAAUGAAGGGCAGCACAGGGUGGAAGGAGAUGUGGCUCAGAGAGCAGAGAGUAGAAGGUAUUUAACCAGCCAGGCUAGAACAGUUCAAAUGUUAUUCAGAGGACAGUGGGGAAUCAUGAAAGAUAUAUUUUGAACUGAGGGAUGACACUUGACUUUUUGGCAAGAUUAGUCUGGCAAGGACACAAAGGAUGAAGUCAUAUUUGGGGGCAUUUUUAAGCAUCAGGUACUGAUGUAGCUGCUGGAUAACUGAACAAAAAGGCAGAAAUCCCUGCCCUUAUGGGGCUUACAUUUCAAUAUGGGGAAAUAAACAAUAAAUAAGAUGAAAAAUGUAAUGAGACCUGACAGGAAGAGAUCACAAACAGGAGAGUGGUGACUGUAAAGGAAAGGUGAGGAUGAUUAGAAACAAAAGAAUUCUGAUUAUGCCUAGGUGAUUGAGAUGAUAGUAGUACUAAUAUCAGAAAUCAAGGAGUCAGAAUGAUGGUUCUAUCAGAGGAGAAUGGAUAAAAAUGGGUUGUUUUAGAUUUGCAGGUCCAGAGGUCCCUACUGACCCAACAGAUGAAAAUCCAAGGCUCUGGGAGGUCAGGUCUGGAGAUACAAACUUCAUGACUACCUGCAGUCAGAUACGAGUGGAAGCCACAUGAGGGAAAAGGGAGAGAAGCAGAGAGCAAAGGGCAAAAGAUUUGAUAAAUGUCCCUGAGGGGAGAAUCUAAGAGAAAAUGAGAAAACAUAGGUAAUGACAAGGAGUAACGGGACGAAGACCGCAAAGGAGACAUCAGUAUG